AUGGCACCCCAUCCAGUUUGGAAGAAGUUGUGGAGUUUGAGAGUGCCAGCGAAAGUUAAAAUUUAUAUCUGGAGAUGCUUGCACAAUGCCAUCCCAUGCCGGAGUACUCUUAUGAAUCGCCAUGUUGGAAACUUGUCCCAAUGCCCAUACUGUACAGAUGGUGCGGAGGACAUAGCCCAUAUGUUGUUUAAGUGUGCAAGGGCGCAAGCAGUUUGGGUAGCUUUGGGAAUCGCAGCAGAUAAUAACUUCGCUUCAUUGGCUGAUCGAGCAGGUUCAGCAGUCUUGGAAUUCAUUUUAUUUGAUGAUUCUUAUCGAGGACAAUAUUGUGGAUUGGUCGAGCUACCAGAGCUCAUAUCAACAGUUUGUUGGUUCUUAUGGUGGCAAAGAAGACAGUUCGUGCAAGGGGAAGAAAUAUUGACUCCAGAACGAACAGCGCCGGCGGUGGUUGCCCUAGCGAUUAAUUAUGUGCGCGGAGCACAAGCUAAAUCUACACCCAAGAUCAACAGGUGGCCGACGUUCCUAGCAGGACAGCUUGUCCUUAAUGUCGAUGUUUCAUUCACAGAGGGCGAUUAUGCUGGGUCUUUUGGUGCUGUCAUCCGUGAUCACCGAGGAUCUUUCAUGUCGGCGUCCACGGCGAGAUUAGAACAUGUAGCUGAUGUUUUCACGGCAGAAGCGGCAGCUCUGCUUGAAGGACUGAAGCUAGCAAGAGAUACGGGAUGCAAUAACUUGGUGGUGAGAUCGGAUAAUAUCACGGUGGUGAAUGCACUUAGAUUCAAUGAAGGUUAUUCUAUGGUGGUAGCACCGGUUCUUGAUGAAUGUCGUAGUUAUCUAGUAGAUUUGGGGAGGUUUACUAUUGACCAUUGUAUUAGAGAGUCAAAUUAUGUAGCUCAUGAGCUGACUAGAUCGGGACGUGCUAAUAAUCCAUCUCGUUGGAUUGGGGCCCCUCCUGAUUUCAUUGUGAGUCUGCUAGCAGACGAUAUAUCCGUCCUUUGA
rnacentral:rRNA from 1 species